rnacentral:rRNA from 1 species
CAACCCCGUAGUCGAAACUUCGUUCUCUCUUGAAUGUAUCCUGAGUACGGCGGAACACGUGAAAUUCCGUCGGAAUCUGGGAGGACCAUCUCCCAAGGCUAAAUACUCCCUAGUGAUCGAUAGUGAACCAGUACCGUGAGGGAAAGGUGAAAAGCACCCCGGAAGGGGAGUGAAAGAGAUCCUGAAACCGUGUGCCUACAAAUAGUCAGAGCCCGUUAAUGGGUGAUGGCGUGCCUUUUGUAGAAUGAACCGGCGAGUUACGAUCCCGUGCGAGGUUAAGUUGAAGAGACGGAGCCGCAGCGAAAGCGAGUCUGAAUAGGGCGUUUAGUACGUGGUCGUAGACCCGAAACCAGGUGAUCUACCCAUGUCCAGGGUGAAGUUCAGGUAACACUGAAUGGAGGCCCGAACCCACGCACGUUGAAAAGUGCGGGGAUGAGGUGUGGGUAGCGGAGAAAUUCCAAUCGAACCUGGAGAUAGCUGGUUCUCCCCGAAAUAGCUUUAGGGCUAGCCUUAAGUGUAAGAGUCUUGGAGGUAGAGCACUGAUUGAACUAGGGGUCCUCAUCGGAUUACCGAAUUCAGUCAAACUCCGAAUGCCAAUGACUUAUCCUUAGGAGUCAGACUGCGAGUGAUAAGAUCCGUAGUCAAGAGGGAAACAGCCCAGAUCGCCAGCUAAGGUCCCAAAGUGUGUAUUAAGUGGAAAAGGAUGUGGAGUUGCUUAGACAACUAGGAUGUUGGCUUAGAAGCAGCCACCAUUUAAAGAGUGCGUAAUAGCUCACUAGUCGAGUGACUCUGCGCCGAAAAUGUACCGGGGCUAAAUACACCACCGAAGCUGCGAAUUGAUACCAAUGGUAUCAGUGGUAGGGGAGCGUUCUAAGUGCAGUGAAGUCAGACCGGAAGGACUGGUGGAGCGCUUAGAAGUGAGAAUGCCGGUAUGAGUAGCGAAAGACGGGUGAGAAUCCCGUCCACCGAAUGCCUAAGGUUUCCUGAGGAAGGCUCGUCCGCUCAGGGUUAGUCAGGACCUAAGCCGAGGCCGACAGGCGUAGGCGAUGGACAACAGGUUGAUAUUCCUGUACCACCUCUUUAUCGUUUGAGCAAUGGAGGGACGCAGAAGGAUAGAAGAAGCGUGCGAUUGGUUGUGCACGUCCAAGCAGUUAGGCUGAUAAGUAGGCAAAUCCGCUUAUCGUGAAGGCUGAGCUGUGAUGGGGAAGCUCCUUAUGGAGCGAAGUCUUUGAUUCCCCGCUGCCAAGAAAAGCUUCUAGCGAGAUAAAAGGUGCCUGUACCGCAAACCGACACAGGUAGGCGAGGAGAGAAUCCUAAGGUGUGCGAGAGAACUCUGGUUAAGGAACUCGGCAAAAUGACCCCGUAACUUCGGGAGAAGGGGUGCUUUCUUAACGGAAAGCCGCAGUGAAUAGGCCCAAGCGACUGUUUAGCAAAAACACAGGUCUCUGCGAAGCCGUAAGGCGAAGUAUAGGGGCUGACACCUGCCCGGUGCUGGAAGGUUAAGGAGAGGGGUUAGCGUAAGCGAAGCUCUGAACUGAAGCCCCA